CCUACGGGAGGCAGCAGUGGGGAAUAUUGGACAAUGGGGGGAACCCUGAUCCAGCCAUGCCGCGUGUGUGAAGAAGGCCCUCGGGUUGUAAAGCACUUUCAGUGAGGAAGAACGCCUGGUGGUUAAUACCCAUCAGGAAAGACAUCACUCACAGAAGAAGCACCGGCUAACUCCGUGCCAGCAGCCGCGGUAAUACGGAGGGUGCGAGCAUUAAUCGGAAUUACUGGGCGUAAAGCGCGCGUAGGUGGCUUGAUAAGCCGGUUGUGAAAGCCCCGGGCUCAACCUGGGAACGGCAUCCGGAACUGUCAAGCUAGAGUGCAGGAGAGGAAGGUAGAAUUCCCGGUGUAGCGGUGAAAUGCGUAGAGAUCGGGAGGAAUACCAGUGGCGAAGGCGGCCUUCUGGACUGACACUGACACUGAGGUGCGAAAGCGUGGGUAGCAAACAGGAUUAGAUACCCGUGUAGUC
rnacentral:rRNA from 1 species